rnacentral:rRNA from 1 species
UACGUAGGGACCAAGCGUUGUUCGGAUUUACUGGGCGUAAAGGGCGCGUAGGCGGCAAUUCAAGUCAGUUGUGAAAUCUCCGAGCUUAACUCGGAACGGUCAACUGAUACUGUUUUGCUAGAGUGCAGAAAGGGCAACCGGAAUUCUUGGUGUAGCGGUGAAAUGCGUAGAUAUCAAGAGGAACACCUGAGGCGAAGGCGGGUUGCUAGGCUGACACUGACGCUGAGGCGCGAAAGCCAGGGGAGCAAACGGG